rnacentral:tRNA from 1 species
GGGCGAUUAGCUCAGUGGAUAGAGCGCAGGCCUCCGAAGCCUGAGGCCGGGGGUUCGAGUCCCCCAUCGCCCG